rnacentral:rRNA from 1 species
ACUCCUACGGGAGGCAGCAGUAAGGAAUAUUGCGCAAUGGGCGACAGCCUGACGCAGCGACGCCGCGUGGGGGAUGAAGGUCUUCAGAUUGUAAACCCCUUUCGGCAGGGAAGAUGGAACGGGUAACCGUUCGGACGGUACCUGCAGAAGCAGCCACGGCUAACUUCGUGCCAGCAGCCGCGGUAAUACGAAGGUGGCAAGCGUUGUUCGGAUUUACUGGGCGUACAGGGAGCGUAGGCGGUUGGGUAAGCCCUCCGUGAAAUCUCCGGGCCUAACCCGGAAAGUGCGGAGGGGACUGCUCGGCUAGAGGAUGGGAGAGGAGCGCGGAAUUCCCG